UUCAUGUUCACUCCAUCGUCCUUCUCACUAAAAAUAACUCCCUUUCUUCUAAGCAAAGUAGUGAUUCUUCUCUACUCUAAACAAGUUUCCUUGUCUUAAUUAUGCUUCUUUUACAACCCCUUUUCAAGAUUCUAUCAGUUUCUUCCUUUAAAAAUUGUAAUUUUCUUGCUCUUUUUUAUAUGUUAAAUUUUAUUUUUGGUCCAUUUUGAUGAUGUUUAUGUAUGAAAUACUGAAAAAAUUGAAUUUUUAAGUGAUGGGGCGCUUGAUUUUUUUUGUAUAGAAUAUUUUUAUGUGAUGCAUUUUCAGAAUUUUAAGAUUUUUUUCCUUUAAAAACUGUAAUUUUUUUGCUCUUUUUUAUCUGUAGAAUGAAAUUUUUGGUCCAUUUUGAUGAUUUUUAUGUUUGGAAUAGUGAAAAUACUCUUUUUUUUGUGAUGCAACUUUUAGAAUUUAAAGGUUUUCUUGCUUAGAAACUGUAAUUUUCUUGCUCUUUUCUAUCUGUAAAAUUUCAUUUUUUUUGGUUCAUUUGGAUGAUGUUUAUGUAUGCAAUAAUGAAAAGACUCCAUUUUUAAGUGAUUGGGUGUUUAAUUUUUUUUUUUUUUGUGAUGAAUUUUUUAGAAUUUUAUUAUUUUGUUUUUUGUAAAAUUUUUAUUUUGGUCCAUUUUUGUUGAUGUUUAUGUAUGGAAUAGUAAAAAGAUUCUAUUUUUAAGUGAUGGGGUGUUUUUUUUUGGCCGGAAUUUUAAGAUUUUGUUUUAACGAAAUACAGAUGAUAACUAUGGAGGUGCUUUAAAGAAGGAUCAAUUUUGAAAUGGCAGGUGAUAUUGAAGAACCAUUUAGGCUUAGUUUCCAGUUAAUUGGGAAGAAAAAGGUUGAAUCUUUAUGUUCAUUGGUAAAUUGGUAACUGAGGAGCGUUUUAGAAGGAGGGCACUUCUAAGCCAGAGUUCAUCCGACUUCCAGAAUGGGGCUGAUUCUCAAGCUAGUUUUGAUGGACCUGAGAAUACAGAUUAUGAGGGGGACUUUGAGUAUGCUAAUGAGAUUGGCCAUUCUACACGCUUUGUUGAUAAUCAUGACAGAGCAGCCACUUUACUGGAGAAUGAAAAGUAUCAAGCUAGUGAAAAUGAAGGCUAUGCAGGGCACUUGGAGCUUGUUAAUGAAGUUGGCCAUUAUGCAUGUUUUGAUGAAAAUAAUCAUAGAUCAACCCGUUUAUCAAAGAAUGGAAAAUAUCAAAUCGAAAACACAGGUUAUGAUGGAGAUUUCAAGCGAGUGAAUGAGGUUGGCGAUUUUGCAUGCUUUGAGGAGAGUUUUGAUGGAUCAAACAAUAGAUACAUUGAAGUCACAGAAUGUGGCAGAGAAGGAUCAAGCAACAGAGACAUUGAAGCCACAGAACGUGGGGGAGAAGAUAGUAUAAUUUUCCAUUCUGGACGUCAGACUGAACAAUAGACCAAUAGUUCAGAUGUUCUUCAAAGUGUUCCUAAAGAUCUGGAAGUUGAAGCAAAAUUUAAUCUCAAUGCUGGAAAUGCAGCUUUUAAUGAUCCUAUACCUACAAUUGAAGUGAAAGAGAAACUAGACGGCCAAGAUAGCUUUAUCGAGUUCUCAUCAAACUCUGUUGAUCUAUCCUCUUAUGCUCACACCACUGAGAAAGAUGGAAGUAUUAGUUCAGAACCUCGGCGAAGUUCAUAUUCGAAGGAGCACCUCUUGUAGCAUUUGUGAUCCGUAAUAUUCAAUUAUUACAUCAGUUAACCAUCUUGCUUGCUGCUGCAGUGAGGACUGCAUCUCAAUCUAGAGAUACAAAAUCCAGAAUAUUAUCCCAAGUUAACAUUGCUAGUGUCAAGGGGAAAAUCUCAAAUCAAGCAUACAAAGACAUGCCAAGAAAACCAAAUAAAAGGCACAGCGAAGUUUCUUUGACACAAAAAAAAAAAAAGCCCAGAUUGAACGCACCUGGCACUCUUUUUCGUCCAACUGCCAGAAUGCCAAAACCAGAGAUAACUUGCUUUAUACAAGUUUCUGCGGGUUUAAAAGCUAAUGUACUUAGCCAACAUAAAAGUUAUGCUUCUUAAUCAUGUCUCCCAUGUUGAAAAUAUAGGAUAUUUUGGUAGCACUGAUUCAUCCUAAUUUUCCUAAUCUUGUUUAUUAUUGAAUGAUAUAGCACUGAACAACAGCCAAUAGCAAGAAAGGUUUUCACAUCUCGUGCUUCCUGUACAGAGAAAGC